GGGGGCGACUGGAUUCGACACGAUAGGUCCGAGGGUAGCAGCAGGCCGAGGUCCCCUCGCCUCGUUAAACAGGGGGAAAGACGCCUAAGCGUCGACACUAAUUACGCUCUCGCUGCUUAAUAAGUAGCGACGUCGUCCGAUGAGCGUCCCCGUCAUCGGGUACGACGUCACUCAGGGGACUUGCGCGACGGAUGUGGGCUGUAUGCCGUGAGCG
rnacentral:tmRNA from 1 species